GCUAGAAAAGGCAAGGAACAGACUCCCUCUUGAAAAUUCCAGAAGAAAUGGGCUGUGCAAAUACCCCAUAGGACUUAUUUUGGCCCUCUUAUCUCCAGAGCUGUUCUUAUGGGAAAUUGUAUCCAGGUCAUCACAACACAAUUGAAAACAACUGACAAUGAAAAGAAUGCUAAUUAGUUUCCUCUCUCUCUUAUCACUGAUCCGUACACAGCUAAACAAUGCUUCCUGGAGGAAGGAGGACUCAAGAUGGCGCUGUGAGAACAACCCAGGAUUGGAGCUUGCACUGAAUCCACAAAGAGAGACGGGGUUUCAUCAUGUUGACCAGGAUGGUCUUGAUGUCUUCACCUUGCGAUCCGCCGGCAUCGGCCUCCCAAAGUGCUAG
rnacentral:lncRNA from 13 species